AGAUGCCCACCAUUCCUGGUCUGCCCACCAGGCCUUGUUUCUACGACAUCGACCUGGACCCUGAGACUGAACAGGUCAACGGACUCUUCUAAAAAGGCCUCUGCACUGUACGAUGACCCAGUGUCCCCCCCACUGAGCCUUAAUGAGACGUGAUGGACUCCUAACUGGAAGCGCCGUGAGAUUCUCCUCUGGUGCUGUUUUUGUUUGUUGUUUUUCACUCUGACACUGACAUCUGUAAAUAAUUGAUUUGCUUCGCCCAGAAGGCUGCCGAUGGGUAAAUCAAAAAAACUUAAUUAAUCACAGAACGGUUUAUUCCUCUGAGAUAGUCACUCUGUAAUAGACUUUUUGCAAGGAGGAAGUGUCCUAUUGACUUCUCUUUUAGGUACAAUGCUCGCUGCACAUUAACAAGCAUCACAGAACUAAGCCUAGACUCUUAAGAGGUAAAUCUGGACUCUAUUAAGUAAUUGUGUAUAUUUUGUUUGCACUAUACCACGAGCAUCUCCUCCAGGCCACCAUCUCUAACAAAUCUGUUUGCCUUUGGGAUACAAUUAUUAUUAAAAAAACAUCUGAACAUGAAAAUAAUGCUGCUUAACAAACUCUUUUUUUUUUUUAGCAAUCCUGUGUCCGUUGCAUAUCAAAUGUCCUGUUUCAUCUGUCCUGUUUCUGAUUGAAUAUUUCUAACCAAGUCUAACACUGCUAGAGAAGUCAUGAUGCUGUAAAUCAGUGGUUUCAACUUUUCUGUCAGAAAACAUCGAAUAAAGUGUCCUUGAUGGAAAACCCUCAA